CCCAAACCAAGAAGCUUGCUUCUUGGGGUUGUAGGACACUCUAUACGGAGUUACAAAAGAAAGUUAUAAAUGAAGCGGUCUGGAAAGGCCCGCCAAAGACGGUAACAGCCCGGUAGUUGAAAUAGCUUUCCCUCCAGAGUGGAUCCUGAGUACGGCGGAACACGUGAAAUUCCGUCGGAAUCCGGGAGGACCAUCUCCCAAGGCUAAAUACUCCCUAGUGACCGAUAGUGAACCAGUACCGUGAGGGAAAGGUGAAAAGCACCCCGGAAGGGGAGUGAAACAGUUCCUGAAACCGUGUGCCUACAAGUAGUUAGAGCCCGUUAAUGGGUGAUAGCGUGCCUUUUGUAGAAUGAACCGGCGAGUUACGAUUUGUUGCAAGGUUAAGCGGAAAAAGCGGAGCCGUAGCGAAAGCGAGUCUGAAUAGGGCGCAUAAGUAACAGGUCGUAGACCCGAAACCAGGUGAUCUACCCAUGUCCAGGAUGAAGGUAAGGUAAUACUUACUGGAGGUCCGAACCCACGCACGUUGAAAAGUGCGGGGAUGAGGUGUGGGUAGCGGAGAAAUUCCAAUCGAACUUGGAGAUAGCUGGUUCUCUCCGAAAUAGCUUUAGGGCUAGCCUCGAGGUAAAGAGUCAUGGAGGUAGAGCACUGUUUGGACUAGGGGCCCUUCUCGGGUUACCGAAUUCAGAUAAAC
rnacentral:rRNA from 1 species